UCGGUCCCUAUCCGUCGUGGGCGUAGGAAAUUUGAGAGGAGCUGUCCUUAGUACGAGAGGACCGGGAUGGACGCACCGCUGGUGUACCAGUUGUUCUGCCAAGGGCAUAGCUGGGUAGCUAUGUGCGGAAGGGAUAAGUGCUGAAAGCAUCUAAGCAUGAAGCCCCCCUCAAGAUGAGAUUUCCCAUAGCGUAAGCUAGUAAGAUCCCUGAAAGAUGAUCAGGUUGAUAGGUUCGAGGUGGAAGCAUGGUGACAUGUGGAGCUGACGAAUACUAAUAGAUCGAGGACUUAACCAUAUAA
rnacentral:rRNA from 2 species